rnacentral:rRNA from 1 species
AGCGAACGCUGGCGGCAGGCCUAACACAUGCAAGUCGAACGGUCCUUCGGGACAGUGGCGGACGGGUGAGUAACACGUGGGAACGUGCCUUUAGGUUCGGGACAACCCAGGGAAACUUGGGCUAAUACCGAAUGUGCCCUUCGGGGGAAAGGAUUUAUCGCCUUUAGAGCGGCCCGCGUCUGAUUAGCUUGUUGGUGAGGUAAUGGCUCACCAAGGCGACGAUCAGUAGCUGGUCUGAGAGGAUGAUCAGCCACACUGGGACGUGAGACACGGCCCACGACUCCUACGGGAGGCGAGCAGUGGGGAAGUCUUGCGCAAUGGGCGAAAGACCUGACGCAGCCAUGCCGCGCGGAUGAUGAAGGUCUUAG